GGAAGUUUCAGCGAAAUCAUCAUCGCGUGGAGGACAAAGCUUUCUAAUACAAACAAUAGGUUACUUUCAGGAAUGUGUCAACCAAAGGAACUGAAUUGACAGAUUGUACAGCCUCCAUCUUGGAUUAAAGCAGACGACAGGAAAUUGUUAAGGAUUAUGGGAAAACAAACAGGAAGUGAGCUUAACACUGAUGCUAACGCUAACACAUAAGCAUUACAUCAACGUUAGCUAACGCUUACAUCAGGAGGGAUUUGAACAACAGGAUAACGCUAAUGUCGUUAGUUAACGUUGACAUUGAUGAUUUAACGCUAACACGUAAGCGUAAGCGUAAAUAAUUAAACGAGUGUUUUGAACAACCGGACCAUAUUGUUGUAUUGGUAUAUAAUACAUCUUUGCUUGGUAUAGAAUGUGACGUUUCGGGAGAGGGCCGUAACUGAUGUUGGCAUAACUCGUGCCCCAAUCCCUUUGCAUGCUUGAUUUUUUAAUGUCGGUCUAAAUAUUGUGUUGAAAUUUAUAUUGAUAUUGUCAUUGUCAAAUGUGUUCUCAUGCAAUAAAAUAUUAUUAAAUUAAACACCUAGAGAAGAACGAUAUUGUUUAACUUGCAAUACUAAUGAUAUUAAAGAUGAAUUUCAUUUUAUCUACAAAUGUCAUGUUAUUGUUAUUUUCAAAAACGUUAUUACCACAUGCACCUUUCUUUCUGUCACUUUUUAUUAAAAGAGCUCUUGUUAUAAGAAUUAAUAUUUUGAAUGUGAAAGAUUAAUGCUUUGUUCCCCUUUAGUUUUAGUAACAAAAUGUUGUUUUUUUUAAUUAUGUGGACCUUCCGUAUGACUUAUUAAUGUGUAUGUAUAUUUGCUAUUAACCAUUUCAUGCUGUAUAUACACGUUGACAUGAUAUUUGAAAAAAAGUAUGUUUAUGUUGACGAUGUAAAUUGUACAAGUCUGAAUUAAAUGUAUGUUCUGUU